GCACCCCAGCAAACCCUGUCCUCCAUUCAGUGUCGGUCAUGGGCAAUAAUGGUGCUAUAGUGACUCAAAGUGUAUCCAGGCGGACCUCCCUCUCUAUUGGAGCCUGUCUCUACAACUUUGGCACAAAA
rnacentral:snoRNA from 1 species